UACGUAGGGUGCAAGCGUUAUCCGGAAUUAUUGGGCGUAAAGAGCUCGUAGGCGGUUUGUCGCGUCUGCUGUGAAAACUGGGGGCUCAACCCCCAGCCUGCAGUGGGUACGGGCAGACUAGAGUGCGGUAGGGGAGAUUGGAAUUCCUGGUGUAGCGGUGGAAUGCGCAGAUAUCAGGAGGAACACCGGUGGCGAAGGCGGAUCUCUGGGCCUUACCUGACGCUGAGGCGCGAAAGCUAGGGGAGCGAACAGG
rnacentral:rRNA from 1 species